CCAGGAAGUAAGUAAGUAAGUAUUCCAUCCUAUUCCUUUACGUAACCAAACACAUAAAUAGAUGGAGAGAGAAGCCUCUUCCUCUCUUCCCUUCUGGCAAGGUUUGGAGACAGCAGUCUUCCGCAGGUCGGUCUCAUUCCUGUGGGGGAGCUGAGGCCUGGCCGGGCCUACAGGGCCUGUUGUUUGUGCCGAUCCAGGGUCCAGUAGUCUGGCGGCGGUCGUUCAGUGUGAUUUCUGCUGUCCAAAGGAAAGUAGAGGUUUUGUGCUGGGUCUUGGGGACUUGGCAGGGAGCCAAAUCAAAACUUAGACAACACAGAAACUAGCUAUGAACUGAAUAGUUCUGAAGGUGGUCAAACACUAUAAUGAGUUGCCCAGAAAGAUUGUGGAAUCUCCAUAUUUGGAGAUGCCCAAAGCCUGACUGGACAAGGCCCUGGGCGACCUGCUGUCUAUGACCCUGCCUAGAGCAAGGGUUUGGGCAGGACAGUUGCCAGAGAUGCCUUCCUACAGAAAACAUUCUCAAAAAAGUCAUAACUGAAGGUCAUAAACUGAAGAAUGGCUGUGGAUACAAUGUACAAAAAAGAACAGGAGCUGCCAGCUCCAGAGACAUGAUCACAAG